GCGAUGUGGUCGAGUGUUAAGAACACUUGCCUCUCACUCUGGAGUCCAGGGUUCGAUCCCCGGUUGAGGAGCU
rnacentral:tRNA from 1 species